rnacentral:rRNA from 1 species
AUUGAACGCUGGCGGAAUGCUUUACACAUGCAAGUCGAACGGCAGCACGGGUGCUUGCACCUGGUGGCGAGUGGCGAACGGGUGAGUAAUACAUCGGAACGUGCCCAGUCGUGGGGGAUAACACAGCGAAAGCUGUGCUAAUACCGCAUACGUCCUGAGGGAGAAAGCGGGGGGACCGUAAGGCCUCGCGCGAUUGGAGCGGCCGAUGUCUGAUUAGCUAGUUGGUGAGGUAAAGGCUCACCAAGGCGACGAUCAGUAGCUGGUCUGAGAGGAUGAUCAGCCACACUGGAACUGAGACACGGUCCAGACUCCUACGGAGGCAGCAGUGGGAAUUUGGACAAUGGGCGAAAGCCUGAUCCAGCCAUUCCGCGUGAGUGAAGAAGGCCUCGG